GUUACUGGGAGGUUACUGGGGGUUACUGGGAGUCACUGGGAGUUACUGGGAGGUUACUGGGAGGCACUGGGAGUUACUGGGAGUUACUGGGAGUUACUGGGAGGUUACUGGGAGUCACUGGGAGGUUACUGGGGAGUCACUGGGGAGUUACUGGGAGUCACUGGGAGUCACUGGGAGUCACUGGGAGUUACUGGGAGGUUACUGGAAGUCACUGGGUGGCACUGGGAGUUACUGGGAGGUCACUGGGAGUCACUGGGAGGUUACCGGGGAGUCACUGGGAGCUACUGGGAGUUACUGGGAGUCACUGGGAGGUUACUGGGAGUCACUGGGAGGUUACUGGGAGUCACUGGGAGGCACUGGGAGUCACUGGGAGUUACUGGGAGGUUACUGGGAGUCACUGGGAGUCACUGGGAUGUUACUGGGAGGCACUGGGAGUUACUGGGAGGUUACUGGAAGUCACUGGGUGGCACUGGGAGUUACUGGGAGGUCACUGGGAGUCACUGGGAGGUUACCGGGGAGUCACUGGGAGCUACUGGGAGUUACUGGGAGUCACUGGGAGGUUACUGGGAGUCACUGGGAGGUUACUGGGAGUCACUGGGAGGCACUGGGAGUCACUGGGAGUUACUGGGAGGUUACUGGGAGUCACUGGGAGGCACUGGGAGUCACUGGGAG